GGUCUUAAAACUUCAGAGAGAAAGAAUGAGAGACAGCAUGAGAGGGAGGAGAGUCAGAGGGAGAAGCAGACUCCCCACCGAGCAGGGAGCCCGAUGCGGGACUCGAUCCCGGGACUCCAGGAUCAUGACCUGAGCCGAAGGCAGUCGCCCAACCAACUGAGCCACCCAGGCGCCCUUCAUUGUGCAAGCCUUACACCUCCUUAAUUCCUAUUUUAUUCUUUUUAAUACUAUUAUAAAUGGAAUUGUCUUUGUAACUUCCUUUUCAACUUGUUCAUUAUUAGUGUAUAAAAGUGCAACUGAUUUUUGUGUGUUGACUUUGUAUUCUGUUACUUUGUUGAAUUCAUUUAUUCUAACAAUUUUUUCGUGUGUUGGGGGGGGAUCUUCAGGGUUUUCUACAUAUUCAUUAUCUGCAAAAUAAUAAUUUUACUUCUUUCCUUCUAGUUUGAAUGCCUCUUAUUUCUCAGUCUUGCCUAAUUUCUCUGGCUAGGACUUCCAGUACUAAGUUGACUAGCAGUGACAAAAGUGAACAUUCUUUCCUUGUUCCUGAUCUUCAAAGGAAAGGCUUUCAGUCUUUCACCACUGAGUAUGAUGUUUGCUGUGCAUUUUUCAUAUGUGACCUUUAUGAUGUUAAGGUAGUUUUCUUCUAUUCCUAGUUGGGUUUUUUUUAUCAUGAAAGAGUGUUGAAUUUUGUCAAAUGCUUUUUCUGCAUCAAUUGAGACGAUCAUGUGUACCUUUUUUCUUCUUUAUUCUGUUAAUGUGGUAUAUUUCAGUUAUCAUUCAGCAUUUAAUAUGCUGUUGAAUUCAUUUCACCAGUACUUUAUUGAGGAUUUUUGCAUCAACAUGCAUUAGGGAUAUUGAUCUAUAAGGUUCUUGUAUCUUUGUCUGGCUUUGGUAUCAGGAUUAUGAUGGCCUCAGAACGGGUCAGCAAGUGUUACCAAUUUUUUGUGAAAGAUUGAUGUUAGUUCUUUAAAUGUUUGGUAGAAUUUACCAGUGAAGCCAUGAAGUCCAGUGCUUUUCUUUGUCUGGAGGUUUUGUUCUGUUUGAGUUUGGGUUGUUUGUUUUUUUUUUUUUUAAUUACUGAUUCAGUCUUCUCACUAUAGAUCUAUUCAGGUUUACUGUUUCUUUGUGAUGUAGUCUUGGUAGGUUUUGUGUUGGUAGGAAUUUGUCCAUUUCAUCUAGUUAUCCAGUUUGUUGAUGUCCAUUUGUUCAUAGUGUUCAGUUUACUUUUUACUUUAGGGAAUACAAUAUUUCAACUUUCAUGAUGGAAAUAAAGAUGUUUUUACUUCUUUCUCUCAUAAAUGAUCCCAAGGCAACAAAGGAACACCAAAAAAGAAUUCAUAUCCCACCUUCAAUUAAAGUAGGAGAUAUGGGGCACCUGGAUGGCUCAGUCAGAUGCAUGGAUAGCCAAGGAUCAACAGGCAUUUGAGGAAAGUUUUCAAAAUGAAAAAAAGACCCCCACCGCAACCAAGAAAGCCUCAGAAGAAACCAGCAGUACAAGGAACAGAAGAAACUGUAACUUCCUUAGAGAAAUGAAAAAACAUUGCAUUCAUGAAACAAGAACAGGAUUAUGAAAAAAAUUAAGAUUUUGGAAAUAAAAAUAUGAGACCAAGAAUUUUAAAAAUCUGUAGAAGGGAAGGAAAUGUGGAAAUAAAAUUUUAAGCCUCGUUUCCAAUUUAAACCUUGGCUAGAAAAUGUAAUCAAAGCUAGAGAUUAUAAACUUUGUAGCCAUUUAAUGAGAAAUUAUUAGGAUGGGAAAACAGAUGUUAUAAGGAGACUAGAUAACUCUGCUAGCCGCUAAAUUUAUUAGAUACAUGAGGUUAGCAAUUGUUUCCUGGUUGGCAUUAAAUUUAAGUUCAUUAUUUGGGGUGCUUGGGUGGCUCAGUCAGUUGGGCAUCUGCCUUCUGCUCGGGUCAUGAUCUCAUCGAGGUCCUAGGAUCCUAGGAUCGAGCCCUGUGUUGGGCUCCCUGCUCAGUGGGGAGUUGGCUUCUCCCUCUCCCUCUGCCCCUCCCCCCUGCUUGUGCGCUCCUUCUCUCUCUUGGACGCUGUCUCUCUCAAAUAAAAUCUUUAAACAAUUUAAGUUCAUACUUAAUGUUAUACUUAUUUAAAAUUUUAGUAGUUUAUACUUACCCUGUGUAUCUUAUCAUUAUAAUUGAGUUUCUGUCUGCUGUGGUGAGAUAGCAUUCUAUAAUAUUGAAAGGCUUGCUUUAAUAUCUCCGAGGCUUGGUUUGAAACCUUAAGACUAGGCACCUGGGUGGCUCAGUUGGUCAUGAUCUCGGGGUACUGGGAUCAAGCCCCACAUCUCUCAAAUAAAGUCUUAAAAAAAAACCCAAAAACCUAGUCGGAUGUUAUAGAAAAUGCCAUUGUUAAAAUCUUAAUUGUAAUACAAAAAUCAGUUGUUUUUGAAUAUUUCAGCAAUAAACAAUUAGAAAAGAACAUUUUAAAAUCCAUUUAUAAUGGUAUCAAAGAACACCAAGUACUAGGGAGCCUUGGUGGCUCAGGUGAUAGAGCAAUGCAACUCUUGAUCUUGGGGUUGUGAGUUUGAGCCCCAUGUUGGGUGUAGAGAUUAUUUAAAAUCUUAAAAAAAAAAGUACUUAAAAGUGUAUCUAACAAAUGAGGUGAUAUUGCUGUGUAUUUACAAUACAAACAUGUCUACAAAUAGAUUUGUACAAGAAUAUUUACAUAGCUUUAUUGAAGACAGCCAAAAUUUGCAAAUAAUCCUGUAGGAAAAUGGACAAAAUUAGGGUGUGUUCAUAUAAUGUGGUAUACUCAUAAAAUGGAAUACAACUCAGCAACAAAAGCAAACAACUACUAACAGGGAUGAAUCCCAAAAACAUAUUGAGCAAAAAUAACUAAAUACAAAAAAAAAAAAAAAAAUGCAUGGUAUGUGAUUGUGGUCCACAAAGUUUAAGAACAGGCUAACCUACUCUUUGUGGAUGAGAGUGGAAGGGGCUUAAGGGAACUUCUUAGGGUGAUGGAAAUGUUUUGUGGGGUGGUUACAGAGGCAUAUGUAUUGUCAGUACUCAAACUGAGUAUGUAAGAUCUAUUUAUUUUAUUAAAUGCAAACUAUGCGUUAAAAACAUUAACUGAAGAAAACAGUGUUGACUCAAAAUUAUGAACCAAGUCAAAGGAUGAUAGUUUUACCUGAUGACUCACAUUCUGUGAUUUGAUUCUAUAAAUUUGUUAGAAGCAUCAAGACUGUCUUGGCCUUCUACCAAUUUUGUGACUAACAAAGUCACUUCUAAAAAGAAAGAGAUGCUUAAAUUUUUCUCCAGAAGUCAAAAUUGAGACAAUCUCCCCCUCCCCAAAACAGGAACAAAACAACAAAAAUGAAGAAAAGAAAGAGGAGGGAGGGAAGAAGAAAUGGAAAGUAGUAGAGAAAAGAUAACUUAGGGAGCCAAUAGAAGUGGUAAAAAAGAUUAAUAGAGGGGCGCCUGGGUGGCUCAGUCGUUAAGGGCCUGCCUUCGGCUCAGGUCAUGAUUCCAGGGUCCUGGGAUCGAGCCCCGCAUCGGGCUCCCUGCUCGGCGGGAAGCCUGCUUCUCCCUCUCCCACUCCCCCUGCUUGUGUUCCCUCUCUAGCUCUCUGUCAAAUAAAUAAAUAAAAUCUUAAAAAAAAAAAAAAGAUUAGUAGAAAUUGCAGAUAUGAGAACAGUGAAAAUGGAAGGGACAAAAUUAUCAAAAACAGUAAUUCAAGAACAUUUCCCAGGCAAAAUUAUCAAAACAAUAAUACAAGAACAUUUUCCAGAAGGGAAAUAAAUGAGUUUCCUUAUUAAAAAGGUCCAUUAAGUGUCCAACAGCAUGAAUGUAGGGGCAGGAAAGGAGGGCAGGCUUACACCAAAGCUCACUAUUGUGCAGAAUACCAGGUCAAAAACCUGUAAAUAGGCAAGCCACAUUCAGAGGAUAGGGAAUCAGAAUGGCACCAAACUUAAAAACACUGAAAACUGGCAGACAAUGGAGCAUGCCUUCAAAAUGAUGUAAAAAUUAUUUUCAAAUUAUUCAGGAAUUCUAUUCAUAGCCCCACUGAGAGUAGAAUAAAGAAAUUUCAGAUACAAAGUUUUAAAUAAUGUUAUCACCCAUGUACCCUUUUGCAGUAAACAGUGGAAGAUGUGCCUUCCAAAACAAAUCAAGAAAGACAAUGGCAUGGGCUCAAGAAACAGAAUCUAAACCAGGAAAGAGAGGUAGGAAGUUCAGAGUAAUGGCCGAGGGAAGUCUCAUGUGGACAGCUGUACUGCACAUAGAGAUCUGUAAAGCCCCUAGUCCAGUUUACAACAGGAAGAGCGAGCUCCAGAAAGUUUUCCAUGAAAAAAAAGAAGAAAACACUUUAUCUGAUGGUUUGGCCAUGUGGAAAAUUAUAUGCAGAGGCAUUUUACACACUUGCUGGAGGGUGUGGAAAGUUAAAACAAAACCCAAAGCAAAUGAAAAAGUGAAGCAAUUAACUCCAAGAAAAACAAAAGCUUCUACCAUGUCACCUUAGUACAUAAAGUGGUACAGCACUGAAUAAUUACAAUUAAUGCAAUAACAAUACUAAAUAUGGACUAAACCUUAUGAUUAACAUAUUAAGAGGGAAGCAAGGAGGGGAGUUUUAAGAAAGCUAAAUUUUUUUUUUUUUUUUUAAGAUUUUAUUUACCUGGAGAGAGAGAGAGACAAGUAGGGUGAGCAGCAGGCAGAGGGAGAAGGAGAGGCAGGCAGCCUCCUCACUGAGCGGGAAGCCCAAAGAGGGGCUUGAUCCCAGGACCCUGGGAUCAUGACCUGAGCCCAAGGCAAAUGCUUAACUGACUCAACCACCCAGGUGCCCCAAGGAAACUAAAAUUCUUAAGUACCAUGACAGAAAGUCAGUUAACAAUGUCUAACAUUGUAAAUUCUGUAAAUAACAGAAUAACCAUAUUUAGAAAUAGGUAGUAACAGAAGAAACAGCUUGUCUGAAAAUAUAGCACUACUUGACUUUUUAAGCCAUGUAUAAUAAUUUUUAAAAAUAUGAAAUAAUGCAUACUAAAAGGUUAGUACUGUGUCUAGCAUAAGAAAUAGUAGCCUGUUGUUUUAAAAAAGUGUUUUUAAAAAUCUGGGGGAGUAGAAAUGAGGGUAAAAAUAUAGAAUGAGUUUAGUACAUAACUCAUGUGAUGUGAAGUAUUUUAUCUUGCUAUAGGUUGACCCUAAAUUUAGCUUUGCAUUGAAAAAGAAAAUAUUACAAGGAUUCACACAGCCCAUAUUAAAAAAAAAAAAAAUCAGACCAGUUGAACAGAAGCCCAAUUAUUCCUGGCACUGAAGCCAAAGGAGAAAUUCUCAUAGGUAGGAUUCUCAUAGGUAGAAUAUUGGGUGAUAUGAUUUCUUAAAACUCUGUAAUAUCAUUACAGUAAAAAUAUGAAUUUCUUUAGGCUUUUAUUCUAUUUCACAUAAUGUCUCUAAACACAAGCAGACAAACAAAGUAGGCAGUUCAUAUAUAUAGAUAGCUCUUUGAUGAAAUGACCAAAUUCAAGAUAAAAAUUCUGUCCUGGACUUCAGAAGUCCAGGAUUAUAUUAUACACAGGACUAAAGAUUCCCAUUUGUCUUUCUCUACAGAGAAAACGAAGUAGGAAGAAAAAAGAGUAAAAGAGAUUGAGUUCUUAUAUCUAAAAAUUCAUUAUAUCAGGAAUAAAUGAACAAGAAAGCAACUCUUCACAUGUCCUGAAUGGGAGGGAGGGGGAAGUCUAUUCUUUAUUCUUACAAGAUCAAAAAAAUAUCCUUCACAGCAUGCAUAUAAGACAAAAGAUUAAUU